CACUAAUUGCUUUCAGGAAUAAUAUCUAUUGUUUUUAACUCUUGGCAAUGUGCUGUAAAGUGUCCAGACCUACCAACCACGAGGAAGAGCAAUUGUAAUCUUAUCUGAGUGCGAAGUGAACGCUCCAGUACUGCUUCAUUGUAGCUGCUGUUUGGCUUUGAUGACUGUUACUACUCUUCUAUCAUGGGAGAAUAGGAGGAAGAGAUUUCAAGCUGAGUGGA